AGAGGUCAUGCCUGCCCUGUGACCAUAAGUUUAACGGCCGCGGUAUCUUAACCGUGCAAAGGUAGCGCAAUCACUUGUCCUUUAAAUGAGGACCCGUAUGAAUGGCAAUACGAGGGUUUAACUGUCUCCUUUUUCCAGUCAAUGAAAUUGAUCUCCCCGUGCAGAAGCGGGGAUACAUCCAUAAGACGAGAAGACCCUAUGGAGCUUUAGGCACUAAAACAGACCAUAUUAAAUACCCUAAAACAAGUAGAUGUAAAACUUAUUGUAUCCUGUUUAUAUAUGCCUUUGGUUGGGGCGACCGCGGGGAAACAAAAAACCCCCACGUGGACCAGGAGCACCCCCUUAUACCCCUCCCACAACCUAGAACUACAAUCCUAGUUAACAGAACUUCUGACCAUAAAUGAUCCGGCACUCAAACCGAUCAACGGACCAAGUUACCCUAGGGAUAACAGCGCAAUCCCCUUUUAGAGCCCAUAUCGACAAGGGGGUUUACGACCUCGAUGUUGGAUCAGGACAUCCUAUUGGUGUAACCGCUAUUAAGGG
rnacentral:rRNA from 1 species